rnacentral:rRNA from 1 species
GACGUAGGGCGCGAGCGUUGUCCGGAUUUAUUGGGCGUAAAGAGCUCGUAGGCGGCUUGUCGCGUCGUCCGUGAAAACCUGUGGCUCAACUGCAGGCUUGCGGUCGAUACGGGCAGGCUAGAGUUCGGUAGGGGAGACUGGAAUUCCUGGUGUAGCGGUGAAAUGCGCAGAUAUCAGGAAGAACACCAAUGGCGAAAGCAGCUCUCUGGGACGGUACUGACGCUGAGACGCGAAAGCGUGGGGAGCGAACAGG